CUGCCAGAGCAGAUGAGGAUUUUUCUCUGGUCUUCACGGGAGAACCUGAUGGGCCUCCUGUAGGUAAAACUCAAGAAAGUAUGGAUGCGCCCCAAGACUGGACUUCCUCAGAAUCUUUAAUUCUCAAGUUAGUCGACACUAAGCCUCCAGAAAUUUGUUAAUUACAGUUUCAAGUAUUCCUCCAGAUAGUGGCUGCAGCUGCAGGCUCCUGCUCCCACUAAGCUGUAAUUGUCUGUAUCUGCCCGUCUAUCUCCAGUUUUAGUAGCAGCAGUUUGCUCUAUUACCAUAAUUCUUUGAUGGAUCCAAGAAGAGUUGUUGAUUUUCAGUUUUUUCGGCAUUUUUCUUGUUGUGAGGAUGGUAAUGAUGACCUCCACAUUCUUUACUUGGGCCCUGAAGUUUGAUACCUGUAUUUUUAAAGUAUUUUGUAGUCAGUUUUGUGCUUAAGAUAAAAUUAAGAGGCCAGGCAUUGUGGCUCAUGCCUGUAAUCCAAGUGCUUUGGGGGGCUAAGACAGGAGGAUUGCUUGAAGCUAGGAGUUUAAGACCAGCCUGGACAACAUAGUGAGAACCCAUAUCUACAAAAAAAUGAAAAUAUUAGCUGGGUGUAGUGGUGCAUGUGUGUAGUCCCAGCUAUUUGGGAGGCUGAGGCAGGAGACUCACUUGAGCCCAGGAGUUUGAGGUUACAGUGAACUAUGAUCAUGCCACUGCCCACCAGCCUGGGUGACAGAGCAAGACCCUGUCUCCAAAAAAAAGAAAAAAAAAGGUUAAUUUAAUAAUUUAAAGUUUUGUGUUAUAUAUACAUUUUAAAUUGAUGGUAAUUUUGUAUCAUAAAUAUUUACAUAUUCCUUUUUAGCCUACCCUAAAAGCAUCCCACAGCAUGGGCUCAUCCCAGUUUAUGCCACCAGAGGCAAUUUCCUUGUAUUAAUGUGCCCAUGAAGUAUCAUCUGUAGUUCUACCAGUUUUUCUUAACAUUUCUUCAAUGCAUCUUCUCCUUUUUCCCCUUCAUUAUUGGAUGACUGUCUUAUUCCAGAGCCUUAUCACCUUGGAUAUGGGUCCUAAUUAGUAUCUCUUUCUCCUGCCUGUCCACUUUACAACCAUCCUGAGUGAUCUUUCUAAACCUUGUGAAAUUCCCUUCUCUAAAUACAUCAUUGAGAUGAUUGGUAAACCUGUUAUUAGUAAAAUAGAAGUUCUUCAUUUAGCAAGAUAUACAUAUAAGGCCCCCCUAUUGAGAGGUGAAGCCAGCUGGACUUCCUGGGUCGAGUGGGGACUUGGACAACUUUUCUGUCUAGCUAAAGGAUUGUAUAUGCACCAAUCAGCACUCUGUAAAAACACAGCAGUCAGUGCUCUGUCUAGCUAAAGGAUUGUAAAUGCACCAAUCAGUGCUCUGUGUCUACCUAAAGGAUUGUAAAUGCACCAAUCAACACUCUGUGUCUAGCUAAAGGAUUGUAAACGCACCAAUCAGCACUCUGUAAAAAUGCACCAGUCAGUGCUCUGUGUCUAGCUAAAGGAUUGUAAACACACCAAUCAGCACUCUGUAAAAAUGCACCAAUCAGUGCUGUUUCUAGCUAAAGGAUUGUAAAUGCACCAAUCAGCAUGCUGCAAAAUGGACCAAUCAGCUCUCUGUAAAAUGAACCAAUCAGCAAGAUGUGGGCGGGGCCAAAUAAGGGAAUAAAAGCUGGCCACCCGAGCCAGCAGUGGCUACCCUCUUGGAUCCCUUUCCAUGCUGUGGAAGCUUUGUUCUUUCGCACUUCACAAUAAAUCUUACUGCUGCUCACUCUUUGGGUCCUCACUCCCUUUAUGAGCUGUAACACUCACCACGAGGGUCUGUGGCUUCAUUCCUGAAGUCAGCGAGACCACGAAGCCACCAGGAGAAACAAACAACUCUGGACGUGCCACCUUUAAGAGCUGUAACACUCACUGCGAAGGUCUGCAACUUCACUCCUGAAGUCAGCGAGACCACAAACCCACGAGAAGAAAGAAACUCCAGACACAUCUGAACAUCUGAAGGAACAAACUCCAGACACACCAUCUUUAAGAACUGUAACACUCACUGUGAGGGUCCGCGGCUUCAUUCUUGAAGUCAGCGAGACCAAGAACUCACCGGAAGGAACCAAUUCCGGACACACUAUCUUCUGAGACAUUCGGAUCAGGCAUUUGUUCUUCUGGGAAGCUAUCUUUGGUAUUCUUCCCUUACUACAGAUGCCCCAAAUAACUACAGAAGUUAUCCUCUUCUGUCCUAUCACUGUCUUGUUCACUGUUCUGUAAUACAGCGUUAGUCACAAUGAUUGUAACUUUUAAAUUAUAUGUGUGUAUACCCUAAUACAGUUGUUAUUUGGCUUUCCAUUCUAUCACCUUAUAUAGAACAUUUAAAAUAGAUGUAUGUUAAAUAUUUGUUGAAAAAGAUGAAGGAAAUAGCUCCACUAUAAAAUUCCAGCAAGGUAAAAAUCACUGCUCAUCUAAGAAAGUUCAAUAUAAUGCUAUUCAUAAAAAAGUGCCAUUAAUAGUCUUUAUAAUUAUACAUAUAUAGUAAUAUGGAAUUUUAUGUGAAGUGUGAAACUUUUGUCCUAUCUACAUCAUUUUUCAUAUCUGUGUUAUGUCUCUAAGAUAAUAAAUUAAUACUUCUUGAAUCACA
ensembl:lncRNA